rnacentral:rRNA from 1 species
GUCUUUUAGAUUAUAAUUUAAAGUCUGGCCUGCCCUAUGAAAAAUUAAAUGGCCGCAGUAUUUUGACUGUGCAAAGGUAGCAUAAUAAUUAGUUUUUUAAUUGAAAGCUGGAAUGAAAGGUUGAACGAAAAAAUAUCUGUCUCAAUUUAAUUUAAUUAGAAUUUUAUUUUUUAGUAAAAAAGCUAAAAUAAUUUUUAAAGACGAGAAGACCCUAUAGAGUUUUAUAUUUUAAUAUUAUAUAUUUUAUAGAAUUAUUUUAUGAUUUUAAAUAUUUUAUUGGGGUGAUAAAUAAAUUUAAGUAACUUUAUUAAUUUCUUACAUUAAUAUAUGAUUAAUUGAUCCAUAAAAAUGAUUAAAGAUUAAAUUACCUUAGGGAUAACAGCGUUAUUUUUUUUUAGAGUUCUUAUCGAAAAAAAAGAUUGCGACCUCGAUGUUGGAUUAAAAUUUAUUUAUGGUGUAGAAGCUAUAAUAUUAGGUCUGUUCGACCUUUAAAAUUUUACAUGAUCUGAGUUUAAACCGGUGUGAGCCAGGUUGGUUUCUAUCUUAAAAUAAGUAAAAUAUUUUAGUACGAAAGGACCAAAUAUUUAUAAAAUUUAUUAAAUUUUGAAUAC